rnacentral:rRNA from 1 species
UGCGCGCUACCAUGCAGUCGGACGGUAGCACAGAGGAGCUUGCUCCUCGGGUGACGAGUGGCGGACGGGUGAGUAAUGUCUGGGGAUCUGCCCGAUAGAGGGGGAUAACCACUGGAAACGGUGGCUAAUACCGCAUAACGUCGCAAGACCAAAGAGGGGGACCUUCGGGCCUCUCACUAUCGGAUGAACCCAGAUGGGAUUAGCUAGUAGGCGGGGUAACGGCCCACCUAGGCGACGAUCCCUAGCUGGUCUGAGAGGAUGACCAGCCACACUGGAACUGAGACACGGUCCAGACUCCUACGGGAGGCAGCAGUGGGGAAUAUUGCACAAUGGGCGCAAGCCUGAUGCAGCCAUGCCGCGUGUAUGAAGAAGGCCUUCGGGUUGUAAAGUACUUUCAGCGGGGAGGAAGGCGAUAAGGUUAAUAACCUUGUCGAUUGACGUUACCCGCAGAAGAAGCACCGGCUAACUCCGUGCCAGCAGCCGCGGUAAUACGGAGGGUGCAAGCGUUAAUCGGAAUUACUGGGCGUAAAGCGCACGCAGGCGGUCUGUUAAGUCAGAUGUGAAAUCCCCGGGCUUAACCUGGGAACUGCAUUUGAAACUGGCAGGCUUGAGUCUCGUAGAGGGGGGUAGAAUUCCAGGUGUAGCGGUGAAAUGCGUAGAGAUCUGGAGGAAUACCGGUGGCGAAGGCGGCCCCCUGGACGAAGACUGACGCUCAGGUGCGAAAGCGUGGGGAGCAACAGGAUUAGAUACCCUGGUAGUCCACGCCGUAAACGAUGUCGACUUGGAGGUUGUUCCCUUGAGGAGUGGCUUCCGGAGCUAACGCGUUAAGUCGACCGCCUGGGGAGUACGGCCGCAAGGUUAAAACUCAAAUGAAUUGACAGGGGCCCGCACAAGCGGUGGAGCAUGUGGUUUAAUUCGAUGCAACGCGAAGAACCUUACCUACUCUUGACAUCCACGGAAUUUCGGCAGAGAUGCCCUUAGUGCCUUCGGGAACCGUGAGACAGGUGCUGCAUGGGCUGUCGU